rnacentral:rRNA from 1 species
UACGUAGGGUGCGAGCGUUGUCCGGAAUUAUUGGGCGUAAAGAGCUUGUAGGCGGUUUGUCGCGUCUGCUGUGAAAUUCAGAGCUCAACCUUGAGCUUGCAGUGGGUACGGGCAGACUAGAGUGUGGUAGGGGAGACUGGAAUUCCUGGUGUAGCGGUGAAAUGCGCAGAUAUCAGGAGGGAACACCGAUGGCGAAGGCGGC